AGUAUUCCCGAACGGCCGGUCUGUUUCAGGCCGAACCGGCCGGUGGUCGGAACGUUUUUUUUACCCCAUAAAACGGCCGCAGGUGGCGCCGAGUGGAAUGUCAGACUGGGUCAAACUAAUAUUUAGCAUAUUAAGGGGGGAUACGAGCGGCCCCUCCCAACUUGAGCUGAUCCUUGUUUCUAUUGAAAUGUGAUUGGCUCAGCCGCUCAGUCAGUCAUUAAACCGUUAUGUUCCUGUUUAAUAUAAGAACAAUAAGAAAGAGGAGCGGGAUAAAUUCAAAUUAGCAAACAUGUUAAAAAGAAAUAAGCUGUAGAAAGAGAUGGGUGGAGCAGAAAAAACGGUUAAUCCAGGAUGCAGCCUAACGCUCCAUAUUAACAGAGCUGUUAGUGGUGGAGGGGUGAAGGUCAGCGCGGCUACAGUCCGCCAGGCCAGUGAAGAAACGGAACCCAGCAGCAGACCCAAUGCCGCUGACAAGGCCAGUGUCAGUCAUAGAGUUGAUGCAGAGGGACAGGAUAAUGCCAGUCAUAGGAGUGAGGAGGAGGAAGAGACAGAUGAAGAGGGACAGGAAAAUGGAGGAGGAGGAGACGGAAGAGGAGGAGGAGGAAAGUGGAGCAGGAACCACCAAAAAAACAGUGCCAGUUACAGGUGCAGUGUGCAGGACUGGGUUGGCAAUAGGUCUUUGCAUAGAAUUAUAUUAAGAUGUCAUAUGUUGAUGUUCCAAUUCCAGUCACACAGAAACAAUAAGCCCAUCCUCUCCUGCAGUUAUUAUAGUGCAAAUAAAGUAUUCAUGUUAAAAUUACGGUUCCACUUGCGUCCGUCAUGCAAUCGGAUAAAAGGCCCCUCCAAACCGAGCUCCCGGGCUGAAUUUCAACCUCAGUCUGCCCCUGGGCUGGACCCUCUCCUUUUCCAGAGUUGCCCUGUGUUGAGAGGUGCUGGACAGGUGUGGGGAUACUCAAGAACCCCUGGGUCAGUGCCGCGGAGUUGGACGAAAGUACUACAUGUUCAAAAAUAAGGUGGUCCAUUAGUGUAGAUGGCACCAGACAACCAGAGGUCAUUGAUUGACUUUGUAGUUAUAUCAUCAGAUCUGCAGCUGUAUGUCUUGGACACUCAGGUGAAGAGAGGAGCAGAACUAUCAACUGAUCUCGACCUGGUGGUGGAUGAAUCAGAUAGCA
rnacentral:lncRNA from 1 species